UACUCCUACGGGAGGCAGCAGUGGGGAAUUUUGGACAAUGGGCGCAAGCCUGAUCCAGCCAUGCCGCGUGCAGGAUGAAGGCCUUCGGGUUGUAAACUGCUUUUGUACGGAACGAAAAGGUGCCUUCUAAUAAAGGGCGCUCAUGACGGUACCGUAAGAAUAAG
rnacentral:rRNA from 1 species